GAUGAACGCUGGCGGCAUACUUAACACAUGCAAGUCGAACGGGAAGUGGUGUUUCCAGUGGCGAAUGGGUGAGUAACGCGUAAGAACCUGCCCUUGGGAGGGGAACAACAACUGGAAACGGUUGCUAAUACCCCGUAGGCUGAGGAGCAAAAGGAGAAAUCCGCCCAAGGAGGGGCUCGCGUCUGAUUAGCUAGUUGGUGAGGUAAUAGCUUACCAAGGCGAUGAUCAGUAGCUGGUCCGAGAGGAUGAUCAGCCACACUGGGACUGAGACACGGCCCAGACUCCUACGGGAGGCAGCAGUGGGGAAUUUUCCGCAAUGGGCGAAAGCCUGACGGAGCAAUGCCGCGUGGAGGUGGAAGGCCUACGGGUCGUCAACUUCUUUUCUCGGAGAAGAAACAAUGACGGUAUCUGAGGAAUAAGCAUCGGCUAACUCUGUG
rnacentral:rRNA from 1 species